UACGUAGGGGGCAAGCGUUGUCCGGAUUUAUUGGGCGUAAAGAGCGUGUAGGCGGCCAGACAAGUCCGUUGUGAAAACUAGAGGCUUAACCUCUAGACGUCGAUGGAAACUGUUUGGCUAGAGUCCGGAAGAGGAGAAUGGAAUUCCUGGUGUAGCGGUGUAAUGCGCAGAUAUCAGGAAGAACACCCGUGGCUAAGGCGGUUCUCUAGUACGGUACUGACGCUGAGACGCGAAAGCGUGGGGAGCGAACAGG
rnacentral:rRNA from 1 species